AUACGUAGGUGGCAAGCGUUGUCCGGAAUUAUUGGGCGUAAAGCGCGCGCAGGUGGUUCCUUAAGUCUGAUGUGAAAGCCCCCGGCUCAACCGGGGAGGGUCAUUGGAAACUGGGGAACUUGAGUGCAGAAGAGGAUAGUGGAAUUCCAAGUGUAGCGGUGAAAUGCGUAGAGAUUUGGAGGAACACCGGUGGCGAAGGCGACUAUCAGGUCUGUAACGGCCACUGAGGCGCGAAAGCGUGGGGAGCAAACAGGAUUAGAUACCCUGGUAGUCCACGCCGUAAACGAUGAGUGCUAAGUGUUGGGGGGUUUCCGCCCCUCAGUGCUGCAGCUAACGCAUUAAGCACUCCGCCUGGGGAGUACGGUCGCAAGACUGAAACUCAAAGGAAUUGACGGGG
rnacentral:rRNA from 1 species